AGUGGCGCACGGGUGCGUAACGCGUAUGCAACCUACCUUAUACUAAGGGAUAGCCCGGGGAAACCCGGAUUAAUACCUUAUGGUAUUAUUUGAUGGCAUCAUUGAGUAAUUAAAGAUUUAUUGGUAUAAGAUGGGCAUGCGUAGGAUUAGCUAGUUGGUAAGGUAACGGCUUACCAAGGCGACGAUCCUUAGGGGUUCUGAGAGGAAGGUCCCCCACACUGGUACUGAGAUACGGACCAGACUCCUACGGGAGGCAGCAGUAGGGAAUAUUGGGCAAUGGACGGAAGUCUGACCCAGCCAUGCCGCGUGCAGGAAGAAGGCGUUAUGCGUUGUAAACUGCUUUUAUACGGGAAGAAAAGGCCCAUGCGUGGGACAUUGCCGGUACCGUAUGAAUAAGCACCGGCUAACUCCGUGCCAGCAGCCGCGGUAAUACGGAGGGUGCAAGCGUUGUCCGGAUUUAUUGGGUUUAAAGGGUGCGUAGGGCGGCGAUUUAAGUCAGUGGUGAAAGUUUUGGGCUCAACUCAGAAAUUGCCAUUGAUACUG
rnacentral:rRNA from 1 species